GGCUCUGUGGCUGAGCUGGUUAAAGCGCCUGUCUAGUAAACAGGAGAUCCUGGGUUCAAGUCCCAGUGGGGCGUACU
rnacentral:tRNA from 1 species